UUCGUUCCACUAGAUCUUCAAUCUUUGGUGGUUCGCCACCACAAGAUUCUGUUUCUGGUUUUUUGACCGGUUCUGGACCGUCGUGUGGAAACUGGGAUUGGAUAACAUCUAUGGUAGGAUAUGGUACCACGCACUCGAAAGAUUCCAAGGUGUCAACAAGAGCAUCUACCGCAUGCCCCAAACACGAAUAAACUAUAAGACUGUCUGACUUGGAUCAAAGAGGAGGCGCAGUGUAAAGGGUACUACACGUACCAGGGGUCGUUAACCACGGAGCCGUACACCGAGAGCGUCACGUGGAUUCUUUACACCACGCCGAUACACGUGUCCAGGCAGCAGGUUUCAGAAUUCCGGAAGAUGAAAUCAACGGCUUGCGAGCAACACAACAUCGUUAAAAACGUACGACCAAUCCAGACACCCCCAGUCCAUAAAAAACUCGAUAUCAUCUACGCCAGAUCGCACCGAAAAUCCAGCGAAUAAAAUUUCGCUAUUUAUCUAUAUUUACAAUAA